UCCUCUAGUAUAACAUUUGCCCUUCUGUGGAUAGGGACCAAGAAAAGCUUCUUGUUUUCAUCUGGUGGUGGAAAGCAUUUCUGGGUUUGAAGAUAAUGUUACCUGUUUCCCUGGAUGCAUCCAUAGGGAUAAAUUCUGUGUGGCUUCUGGCUGAGUCAUCUUAGAUAAAACCCAUUUUCUUAAUCUGUUGCUGCAUUAACCUCCAUAUCUGGAAACUGACAAUAUUCACAACAAUAGCAAAAGAACACAAGAAGUUCCGUUACUAUUUAAAUGUCUAUUUAAUAAUUUUGAAUUGAAAUAUUGAAAGCCAAUCUUAAAGUUUGUGGAUGGAUUUUUAGCUCAGCUUUUCAAUAAGCCCAUACUAGAAAUUAAACAUUUAUUUAAAAUA